CGAGUAGUGAGUUGGAGAGGGCUGAUUCCGCUCCAGAGGUGGCGGGCGAGGCAGGUGCGCGCGGCUCAGCGGUGGAUCAGUCAUGUACCGCUGCACCAGUAGCAUCCGUGAUGGCUGCGGAUCACCUAAUUUAUCAAUCAUCUGACCUGAUCGUGAAACAGUCAGGUGAUUGAUUCAAAACAAUUAAUCAGUUGCUGCUUCUGACCAGUAAUUCAUGUGUGGGCACAUAGUGGACCGUUGACUCAUCACCUGGCAUCACCAGACCAACUGGAGAGCGAAUAAAUCCACAUGUAUUGUAUUGUUUCCGCACUGUUAACCUUUGUGCUGACACGACUUACCAAGGGUAUCAAACUCAAUCGUACAGGGGACCAAAACUCAUAGCAUGUUUUAGGCCAUGGGACAAACAGGAUAAACAUUUUGAACAGACUAAAACAAAAAAAAAUUGAAAAUAAAUAUGAAUUGGAACAGACAUGAUACAAUAUUAUUCCAAUAUAAAUCGAUUUCAACUUAAAAGCAUUUAAAAUCUGUUGCUCUACGUUAAAAAAAAUCGAGAAUCUCAAAAUGAUACCAAUUUCAAACAUGCGCUACGAAUUGCCACAUGGAUCCCACAGACCAGUACCUGUGAAAGCAAAGACAUAAACAAUUGAUACAGCAAAUCUGACACACCCGCUGCGUGCCUCCAGAGACGUUAAGCUAUCGGGGGCAAAGUGUCAGCGCAUUCCAUGUAUGGAGAAGGCAUGAAAACCAGAAUAACAAGGAUACCUACCUGUGUUGUAUACAGUUGCAGUUGAGUAAGUCUACUUUGAAACAUAAACCCUAGUUCUAAACCCGACAUUGAAACCCUAACCCUAGUUUUAAACCCUAUACUUUCAAACCCUAACUCAUGUUCCCAACUCUAGCCCUAUUUUAACCCCCCUUUUUUGAAACCCUAUACUGUACCUAGUAUUAAACCC